rnacentral:rRNA from 1 species
AUGAAAGGCUUAGGUUUCUCUCACCGGUGGAUCGACUGGAUCAUGUCAUGUGUGACCACGGUCAGCUACUCUGUCAAAUUCAACGGAACCUUGUUGGAUUCGUUUACCCCGUCCUGUGGCCUCCGCCAAGGCGAUCCCUUGUCGCCUUUCCUGUUUUUGUUAGUUGCAGACGGCCUCUCAGCAUUAGUUCAGAAAGAGAUCAAUGACAAGCAGAUUGAGCCUCUGAGGAUAUGUCGUAGAGCCCCUGGUAUCUCACAUUUGUUAUUCGUGGACGAUACAAUGCUCUUUUUUAAAGCAGAAACUGAGCAAGCUCCGCGGGUGCAGCAUGUCAUCAACACGUAUGCGCAAGGUACCGGACAGUUGGUCAAUAUUGAUAAGUGCUCUUUGAUGUUUGGGAAGGCUUGCCCAAAUGUGGUACAAGAGGAAAUCAAGCAUGUGCUACAAGUCACACAAGUUGAGUUUGAGCCUAAAUACUUGGGUCUCCCUACCCCAGAGGGCCGUAUGACUAGAGGGAAGUUUCAGAGCAUUCAAGAAAAACUAUUAAAAAGAAUGGUUCAGUGGGGAGAGUACUGCAGUGGCGGCAAAGAAAUUCUCAUCAAAGCGGUCGCGCAAUCCUUGCCAACCUUUUUGAUGGGUGUUUUUAAACUACCGGCAGGGCUAUGA